GCAUUGAAACUAUCUCUACAAACAGUUAGCAUUGCGAUUUUGACUUGAAAGUUUGGUUUAAAUUUGAUCAUUGAUGUGCAAAAGGUUUUCUUGGGCCCAUAAAAAAAUUGGUCUUUGAGUGCAAAAAUAUAAGGGAGCUUGACUGCAAGAUCCACUUGUCAAACAAGUAAGAAAAUCGAACUUGUUGAUCCAAUAGUAUCUAGUGAAAGAGUGGUCGCUCAACAAAUAAAAGUUAUUUAAGGAAUAACCAGCUGAUCUUCCCCAAGAGAUCACAUCAACGGGAAGACAUCAACGAGAAGGU
rnacentral:rRNA from 1 species